rnacentral:snoRNA from 1 species
UGUGUGUGUGUGUGUGUGUGUGUGUGUGUGUGUGUGUGUGUGUGUGUGUGUGUGUACACACACACACACACACGCACACACAUACAUACAUACAUACAUAUAUAUAUAUAUAUAUAUAUAUAUAUAUAUAUAUAUAUAUAUAUAUAUAUCCUACCACCUCCAUACUCACGCACACAC